AGUCUCAGUUCAGAUUGCAGGCUGCAACUCGCCUGCAUGAAGUCGGAAUUGCUAGUAAUCGUAGGUCAGCAUACUACGGUGAAUACGUUCCCGGGCCUUGUACACACCGCCCGUCAAACCAUGAGAGUUGGCAACACCCGAAGUCGGUAGUCUAACCGCAAGGAGGACGCCGCCGAAGGUGGGGUCGAUGAUUAGGGUUAAGUCGUAACAAGGUAAC
rnacentral:rRNA from 1 species